UGAAACUUUAAAAAAUCCAUAUUAAUGCAAAGAACCUUGUCCCAAAGUUCCUGGAGUUGGCUCCAGAAAUAUGCAACGUUAUUAGCACACAGAUGGACAAUAUGGUGAUUGAGCACUCCCAUACAUGACUCAGUGCUUAUCACCACGAUAAGGAUAGAACUAACUGCACUUUCUGAGCCUCUCAUGUAUGGUUGGGACAUGAGAUUCAUCCUGGUAACUAAAUGUGAGACAAAUUAAUCUAUGUCAUUUCUAGUCUGAGAGAAUAGCCAAUAUGAGACUCUCCAGAGAUUUCUUUUCUCUCCAGAAGAGUGACUGACAAAAUUUAAGAUGGUUGAUGAGCCGUCAUGAUGAGUCCUAUCAUGAGGAGCAGAAACGGAACUCAACCUGUAAU
rnacentral:lncRNA from 1 species